rnacentral:lncRNA from 1 species
GAAGCGAGAGAUUUCCUAUUCUGGAGGAGUGAGCGGACGGCACAAUUGGUCUGGAGACAGACAGAUCGCACCUGCAUUUACAGAAGCAAAUGGAGAAUGUCCUACGUCUACCACACCUCUCACACACACUUGCUCCGCCCCGCCCUAGUUAUCUGUGCCUAACUUGGAGAGUCCUCUACGGAAGUCAUGGAGGUCGUCGAUCUUUCCAUCCAGCACCUCAAGGAAGCUCUUCAGCUCCCCCUUCAGGUCAAGAGGACUGGAGUGAGGAAUCCAUUGGAGGAGGAGAAGAAAACCCCUCGCUUUAUAGAUGGUAACGAGGAAGGCCGAUCUACAGUCAGCACUCUAGCAAGAGCUGGAAGAGGCCAAGGUGGGCUUAUACCUGACCCUGUCUGGACACCAGGGCGACUCCGUGCCCCUCCUCACUGGCUGUGGUUCUGCAGGGGUUUCCUGUGAGUAAGAAACUAUCACCC